rnacentral:rRNA from 1 species
GACGAACGCUGGCGGCGUGCUUAACACAUGCAAGUCGAACGGGCCCGCUCUCUUUUUUGGGGGUGGGUUGAGUGGCGAACGGGUGAGUAUCACGUGAGUAACCUGCCCCCUGCUCCUGGAUAACUGCUUGAAAGGGCGGCUAAUACGGGGUGUGCCGGCUGGUCCGCAUGGGCCUGGUCGGGAUAGUUUCAUCUUCGGGUGUUUCGGGGGGGGAUGGGCUCGCGUCCUAUCAGCGUGUUGGUGGGGUGUUGGCCCACCAAGGCGGUGACGGGUAGCCGGACUGAGAGGGUGGGCGGCCAGGCUGGGAGAGAGGCACGGCCCAGACACCGGCGGGAGGCAGCAGUGGGGGGUAUUGCACGAUGGGCGGAAGCCUGAUGCAGCGACGUCGCGUGAGGGAUGGAGGCCUUCGGGUUGUGAACCUCUUUCUCCGGUGGUGAAGGCCCUGUCCGUUGCGGCGGGGUUGACGGUAGCCGGGUAUGAAGCGCCGGCUAACUACGUG